GCCUGAUUCUGAAUCCUUCUCCCUGCCUCUACCCUGCUCUAUUUUUCUCUUCUCCCAUAUUGAUGACUCUGGCUGUCAUCCUGCAGGCCUGCCAGUGGGAAGACUUACACAAGUGUCGCCUCCAUCUGCAAGCUCACACCUGACCCCUUCUCAAGGGCUUUACAAAAGCAAGAGGUGUAUGAGGAGCUGAAACGCCUGACACGUGGAUUCACCAAGCUGGGCCCCAGCUAUGAGCUUGAAGAGCAGAGUCUGGUUGUUGAAGGUUACUCUCCAGUCAAGACAGAUGAACAGACUGAAAGAUCUGAGCUACAGUUCUGGGCAAUUAUCCUCAUCUGCAUUUCCAUCCUGCUUGGCUUCAUUCUCCUCCUCUUGUUAUGCUUCCUGAUUGUCUUUUGCCUAAGAAGAAAGUCACAUCUCUACCAGGUUCAACAAGGCAUGUACGGGGUGUACUUCCCACAUCUGAGCACAAGAAAAGUGCAUUAACAUGGCCAUCAAAAUCUGUCCUCACGGACCUGCUUGUCCAUUGAUGAAGGAAAAAUAUUUAUGAGUACUAGAAAAAUGUUUCUUUAAUAAAUUAUGUUUAGCAUUUUC